rnacentral:misc_RNA from 1 species
GUAGGUGAACCUGCGGAAGGAUCAUUAUAAAAAUUUACAUUUUUAAUAUGUAAAAAAAAAAAUGUAUUCAAAACCCAACUCUUUAAAAUCAUUUAAAUAAAUAUAUUUAUAUAUAUAUUUAAAAAAAUAAAUAAUAAAAAAAUGACAACUUUCAACAACGGAUCUCUUGGCUCUCGCAUCGAUGAAGAACGCAGCAUCUGACUGACUAAGAUUCG